UCAUGGUUUCCUCAGUUAUAAAAUUAUAUUCAUUAACUAUUUUAAUUUUUCCAGCUAGAAGUUCUCAGCAGCAGCAAAUGUCUUGGAAGUUCUCUCUUGCAGUCAGGUUGAUGGUCUACCCAGACAAGAAUCCCUCAAUGGAUGCCUAUCAGGUGCCCAGACUCCAUUACCACACACCGGGAUACCUGCCAACGUCAUCUUUGAAGUAAAACUCUCUACCAUCUGUUCAUCAACUAACCUGCCAAUUGUAAGGACCUUCCAGUUGUAUCCAAAAGAAUCUGUUGUGACCAUCGGUGUACCAUGUUUAGUAGGUAAGUUUUCAUUUGGGGAAGGUAAGUCCUAAAGACUAAGGUGAGCUGUGUCCUGUUUUAAGAAGUUGGUUUUACACUAUCUGUUUUCCAAAAUGGCACUGCCUUCCUAUCCACAGUCCUUUAUAGUCCCUUGGGUCCUCAGGUAUGUGUAGUGAUCACCAUCUUCUACCUGUGACAAACUUCCACAUACUUAGAUAUUCUUUUAAAAUUCUCAUGUAUCACUUUGUAUUCAUGUUGGCCAGAAGCCCAGGCCCAUGGUGGUAGAAUCAUUAGUCAGAGACAUACAAACUGAAUAAAGGCCGCCAUCUAGCUGAUGUUUUCUUUGGA
rnacentral:lncRNA from 1 species